rnacentral:lncRNA from 1 species
CCGUGUCUCAAGUUCCUCAUCUAGGAUCCUAAUAGAGCUCAAGCACAGAUUUUUUUUUUUUUCAAUCACAGAUUCGAUGUGAAGAUUAGAUAAAGAAGGAGAAAAGCAGACCCCAACAUCUGUGAACUGACCUCAGAACGAAAGCAGGGCUUUGGUGGUGUUAGUUGCUGGCCUAGCAUUUGCAGCAUUUACCCAUCAGAAGUGAAAAAAAGACAACUCUCAGAAAACCCAGAGAUGAUCUCCUGAGAACCCAGGAAAUGUGAGGUGGAAAACCCAAAAGCCCAAGGUAGGAAGUCUAUGAAUUUG